rnacentral:rRNA from 1 species
AUUGAACGCUGGCGGCAGGCCUAACACAUGCAAGUCGAACGGUAACAGGAAACAGCUUGCUGUUUCGCUGUCGAGGGGCGGGCGGGUGAGUCAUGUGUGGGAAACUGCUUGAUGGAGGGGGAUAACUACUGGAAACGGUAGCUAAUACCGCAUAUCGACGCAAGCCCAAAGAGCGGGACUUUCGGGCCUCUUGCCUUUAGAUGUGCGCAGAUGGGAUUAGCUAGUAGGUGGGGUAACGGCUCACCUAGGCGACGAUCCGUAGCUGGUCUGAGAGGUUGACCGGCCACACUGGAACUGAGACACGGUCCAGACUCCUACGGGAGGCAGCAGUGGGGAAUAUUGCGCAAUGGGCGAAAGCCUGAUGCAGCCAUGCCGCGUGUAUGAAGAAGGCCUUCGGGUUGUAAAGUACUGUCAGCGGGGAGGAAGGAAGGAGAGUUAAUACCUGUGCUCAUUGACGGUACCCGCAGAAGAAGCCCCGGCUAACUCCGUG